AAUAAAGUGAGGAGUGGGCCAAGAUUUCUCACGUCCCAGACAUCCAAGUGGUGAAAUUCUGAUUUCAGGCGGCGAGUUGUUGAGUGGUCUUGUCUUCUAGCAGGCGACAAAUCAAGCUGUAGGCUGUGAGCUUUCUUUCUUCCCUACAAAUAGUAGCUGUUAUACGUACUCUACAAACACUGCCGGACUUCCUGGGCGUUACACUUGACAUGAGGUCACUUGAGCUUCUACCUCCUUUAGGGACAUUGCCAUUCCUUGAAUCGCUGGAAAUAAAGGUCAAUGAAAAUGACAUUGCCAUACCAACUGGCCCUGACUAAUGAGGAAUUUAGAAAUCUUUCUUACAUCCCAAACAUCCAAAUUGAUAAUGACCUCUGACUAUUGAGUGAGGAGCCAGCUUCCACCAAUCUCAUCCACUCUUAUAUUCAGGGAUUAUGAGGGUCAAGCCUCCAAGUUGUAAUGGCUGGAUUCCCUAAGACCAAAUGCCCCCAUCCUCAGGAAAUUGCUUUGGCUCCCACAGCAAGCUAAAAGCAUUUACAAUGGCAUUGGAAUUUCAAGCUGAUGGUUGAUAUAUCAAGUAGUUUACAAUCAGGUCCUUACAAUCAGUUCUUUCUGUGGUUUAUUUCUCUGUCCUUGCCAGAUCCUCUUCCGCUCUUCUAUCCCCCAAGUUCACUUGUGUUUGGCUUCCAUCACCCUUGACAAGAUUGAAAGAGAGCUGAGGGCGGUCGUAGGUGUCGACAAAGAAGCUGCAAACAUCAAUCACAAUGCAGAUCAGGAAAAAAUAAAGGGAUUGGGAAGGUCAACCCUCGAAGUUUUAAUGACCGACUCCUUAAGACCAAAUACCUUCAGCCUCUGCUACUCCUUAAUGUACAGCUCAAAUUGAAGCCUAAAGCAUUUUGAAUGGCAUUGGAAUUUUCAAGCUGAUGAGAAGCUACUCUGGCCUCCUCAAUUCUUUUGGAACAAGGAGAAAUAUGCCAAGAGGAUGGGCCUAGUGGACAGCUCAUUGUAGUACAACUCAUAUUGUAACAUGACGAGCUUAAUGUAUAAGAUCUUCUCAAGUACUUUUGCGCAGGAUUUACAAUGGCAUUGAGACUUUCAAGCUGAUGGGUGGAUAUAUGCUUUGGUAAGCUGCACAGAUCUUAUCAUAACUUGAGUUUCUUGGUGAUGUCAUCAUAAGAUCAUUCAACUGUAGUCCAGCUAGAGAAAUUGAAUCAUCUGCAAAACAGCAUUUUAUUUCAGAGGUUUAUCUAACAAUGAGAAUGCACCAUCAAGAAAACUCUGCACCCAUUGAUGAUGAGGUUCUUACUAAACCUAGGCACUUUCUCUUCACGUUUCUCAAGUAGAUUCUCAUUACUUGACCUUUGUAAUCUUUUGGAGGGGCUUGAUUAUUCGAUUGCUUGCUAGUUUGCCCAAUUAUAACUUUGUCAGAGACAUUAUUAUCUUAAUGACUUAAUCUUUUCGAGGUAUAAAGAGUAGUUAAGAGUGGAUGUGACCCUGAAUUCCAUUCCAUGGAAACACUGGGGACGACUCUAAAUGGCUUGUAAACAUUGAACAGGUCGUUGCCUAGUAAAGAAGAUGAGGCAUCUCUUCUAGUUUCUGGACUCCAAUCAAAUGUAUUUCAGGAAGCUAUGGGAGUUUGUGAUCAUGAGCCGUCACGCGAGGAAGUUCGACACCAGAUUGUUUCGUUGGUUAUAUAUUUGUACCUAGGAAGGAAAAUAUUUAUGGCGACCAAAUAGUGGUGAAAUUGAUACUUACAUCAUUCAUCAUCUGGAUUGUGAUGAUAUUGUUUUGUGGCUAGUACCCAAGACUGUUCUGUUAUGCCACGUAGAAACAAAUUUUCCGUGGCAGCACUUUCCACUGAACUGAGAGAGUAUGCAUUGGUCUUGACAGACAUUUGAAAGCUGUUCUUUUUGUGGUUCAUCUUGCUGUCCCUACCGGAUCCUCCUCUGCUGUUCUAUCCCCAAAGUUCACCUGGUGAUGUGGUGCUGGAAACCUGUACAUCAAUUGCACAAUGAGUAGAGGUGAAACUAAAUUGGAAAGCAAAGCUACAUCUUCGUUUGGGAAUUCUAUUUAUACCAAUCUUGAUCACUCUAGUAUGGUGGUAAACCUCAAACUGCAGAAAACCAAAGUUGCUCUGCCAGACUCCUUUAUGAGUAAACUGAUCUCUUCUCUUGAGGCUUCUAUUGUGUUCCUAUAGAGGAAAUUCUGAACCAAGCUAUCACUCAAUUAGACAAAAUUGCUGGCUAUAUCUCAUCUCAUAGUCUGUAGUUUGCUCUGGAAUUAAUCAAAGCGGAAGAUUUCUGCGUUGGUUCAGCCUGUGAACCAUUAAUCAUUUGCUUAGGUCUCCAAAUGCUUUGUAAAUAGAUGAUUUUGUGAUGUGGAUGAAGAGCAUCCUGAUUGAUUUGCUUGACCACCCACAUGUCCAAGCUGAUCAUUUAUGUUGUACAUCUUCUGAAUAACUUAAUAAAGUUUGAGGUAUUUCAUGAAAAUUUGAAAAGAAG